CCCAUUGACCCAUUGACCCCAGGGGCUCCGCCCACACCCGUUUCUGCUCCGCCCUCGCGCUCUCAUUGGCUCCGUCCCGAUUCGUGACUCCGCCCACUGGCCUGAGGGCUCAGGGGGUGACGUCACUGGAGCUGAUCCCCGAGUUCGAGCUGUGGGCGUGGCUGCUGGGGGGCGGGGCCGGGGGGCUCCUGCUCCUGCUCCUGAUUGGCUGCGGCCUGUACAAGUGCGGCUUCUUCCGGCGGAACUUCCGGAAGCGCCUGGAAGAGGGGGAGGGGCCGGAAGUGGAAGGGGAGGGGCCGGAAGCUGAAGAAAAAGGGCCGGAAGUGGAGGGGGAGGGGAUGGAAAAAGCAGAGGGGAAGCCGGAAGUGGAAGGGGAGGGACCGGAAGUGGAGGGGGAGGGGCCGGCGGGCGACACCCCUAAUGGGGAAACCCCGUCCUGAAGCCCCCUCCCCCCCCAACCGGAAGUGGGUUUUCCGGCCCCUCCCCCCCAAUAAGGAGACUUCCGGUGCCUCCAACCGGAAGUGGAUUUUCCCGUCCCUCCCCCACCCCAUUAAAGACGUUUUUGGCC